ensembl:lncRNA
GGCGAUAUGAUCUCAGAUUGCCUCAGAUUAGAUGCAAAGCAUGUGAAGCCACUUGGAGUCCUGGAGUGGAUGACCUGAUCCGUAAUGACUACUGGCCUGCCACUUCUCACUAUUCAACUGUGUAUGCAACAGAUGUCCUUUUUUUCUUUUUGAAGAGCUGAAGAUGGCAGCACCAGGGAUGUCUAGCCAAGCAUUUCUUAGAAUGCUGGAUCAACGCACUGUUCGAUUUGGCCGUGUAAGUAUUUGUGGUAAUAAUUGCGUAACUCCAUAAAUAAUACUAUGAGGGCAUGAUGAUGAUGAUAGUACACAUGAACAUUUGCACUGUUUAGGAAAAAAGUUGUGUUCAAUUUAGACCCUUUAUAAACAACCAUAAACUCAUGUUCUCUCAUCAGCAGUUUGCACUGAGACAUUUCCAACAGGUAAUUCUGAAGAUCUCAACUUCUACUCCAUUGGCUACAGACUUUGACAUCUUCUCCCCAAUAUCAUUUCCUGAUCCCAGAAGUGUUCCCUUGGAUUAAUGGCCCAAACACUGCACAGGCUUACUUCUAAACAAUAUUGUAGCUGUUGUAGCCCUCUUUGUGUAAAGAUUUAAACUGAAUGUCAAACAAUAUCCUGUAUUUUUAAUGGCCAGGUCCCCCAAAUACACCAGUGUAUAGUGUAUGAGUGAAGUCUACACAUUGUUUAUUUCCUUUGAUAUGUAUUCUAAGGAGUGGUUACGAAGUUAGUACAAACAUCCCAUAUGUAUCCAUUUAGAACAUUUUACUUCAGUGUAGUAUAUUGUUUAAUUUGAUCCGUUUUACUGUUCUCUUUUGUUCUCUUUUACUGAACUCUUCUUUGAAACAGAGUGGAAACAUCACAGCAGACAGCUUCCGGAAAAAGCUUCUUGGAGUGGGAAGCUGUCCGAUUCGAAGUGGACAAAUUAUGCCAGGAGGACCACUUUGACUGCCCAGCGUGCAGCCCAGACAUGCUUGCAGUAUCCGUUGAUGGAAACCGUAAGCACUACAGAUUCAAGAGUGCAGCAAGAUCGGAGGAAAAAGCCAUCUUUGAUGGCGUGUUCAUCGCAAAUGAUGAUGAUGUCGCAAGAUUCGUGGACUAUGUCCAUACCUCAACCAGUCAUGUCUCUGGAAGAGGUGUCUGUGGAGGGCAAUGGUCAGCGGCGCGUGAAACUUCUCAGAAGUCCUCAGGAAAAACAGACGAGGAGGGCCUGGAACUCGCUGUAUGUCGUCAUGGGGUUCUCCUUCGUGCCCUCAAUAUGUUCAGGGGGAGAUUUUUUUGCCUACCCCCUGUACCUCCAAAAGCAAAUGGCCUGUAAGCCAGUUAAAUUUUUUGCAAUGGAUGUGGCAUGCAAGUACUGGCCUUACCUCCAGAGAGUGACAGAGAAAUGCCCUGAGCUUGAGGAUCUCCUCACCAUGAGGCCAUUUCUUUCUGUUUUUCAUGCCAAAGCUCAUGAUUUCAAAUGUGAGGUAAAAUGGAGUGGAGCAUAUCAGGAGGGGGCUGGUUCGACUCUUGGGGAAGAGGUGGAGCAGUGCAACGCCUUCCUCUCGAGGAUUGCUGUUACGACAAAGCACAUGUCAAAAGCAGGACGCAUAGACAUGCUGACGAUCAUGGCCAUGCGCUGGAACCAACAAAAGUUUGACAACUUGGCUUCUACCCUUGCCCGCCGAUAUCGGAAGGCCACAAUAGCCCUGCAAUGCCAGUUGCAUAACCUGGAGGCCAUGAAAACGGAAAUGGACGUCUCAGACAAUCAACUGGAGAGGUGGAUCAUUGAUAUCAAUGAGUGGGCAGAAGCAACAACAUCCCCAAAUGAUGCUGAUGUUGCCGCUGUUGCCAGCCGAAUUGAGGAGCUGGUGGCAAGUGUUAAGAGGAGGUCCCAGCGUCUUUACAAGGAUAGUGACGGAUGCAAAGGGACGUGCCCGAAUCCGCCGAAAGAUCAGGGAGGAAAAAUCUUAAAUUCUGUAGUGGAAAAAGUACAACACCUUGGUUCCUAA